rnacentral:rRNA from 1 species
GUGGGGAAUCUUCCGCAAUGGACGAAAGUCUGACGGAGCAACGCCGCGUGAGUGAAGAAGGUUUUCGGAUCGUAAAGCUCUUUCGUUAGGGACGAACGUGCUCUUUGUGAAUAAUGAGGAGUAAUGACGGUACCUAAAUAAGAAGCCACGGCUAACUACGUGCCAGCAGCCGCGGUAAUACGUAGGUGGCAAGCGUUGUCCGGAAUUAUUGGGCGUAAAGCGCGCGCAGGCGGGAUAUCAAGUCUGUCUUAAAAGUGCGAGGCUCAACCUCGUGAGGGGACAGAGACUGGUAUUCUUGAGUGUCGGAGAGGAAAGUGGAAUUCCUAGUGUAGCGGUGAAAUGCGUAGAUAUUAGGAAGAACACCAGUGGCGAAGGCGACUUUCUGGACGAAAACUGACGCUGAGGCGCGAAAGCCAGGGGAGCGAACGGGAUUAGAAACCCUUGUAGUCC